UGUCAACUAGUUGUCGGGUGUUUNAAAAGAUGCGGUAACGUAGCUAACGCGUGAAGUUGACCGCCUGGGAAGUACGGUCGCAAGAUUAAAACUCAAAGGAAUUGACGGGGACCCGCACAAGCGGUGGAUUAUGUGGAUUAAUUCGAUGCAACGCGAAAAACCUUACCUACCCUUGACAUGCUCGAAAUUCCACAGAGAUGUGGAAGUGCCCGAAAGGGAAUCGAGGCACAGGUGCUGCAUGGCUGUCGUCAGCUCGUGUCGUGAGAUGUUGGGUUAAGUCCCGCAACGAGCGCAACCCUUGUCACUAAUUGCCAUCAUUCAGUUGGGCACUUUAGUGAGACUGCCGGGGACAAACCGGAGGAAGGUGGGGAUGACGUCAAGUCCUCAUGGCCCUUAUGGGUAGGGCUUCACACG
rnacentral:rRNA from 1 species